GCUCUUCUUUCUUUUUUCGUUUUUCUUCAUUCUUUUUGCUGCAUGGAAGACAAAUGGCAGCAACAGAUGAAGUGGAGAUAAUUGAAAAAUCAGAGGAAGUGGAAGUUUCCAAGUAUUUUUUUCACAAGCACCCCCCGACACCCACAGUAAAAAAAAAAAGA
rnacentral:ribozyme from 14 species